CAGCAGUGAGGAAUAUUGGUCAAUGGCCUAACGGCUGAACCAGCAACUUGCAGGAAUGAGAGUUAAUAUAAUAAGUUAUUAACUUGCUUGACUAGGUCUUAUAAAGUUCUGGAUAAAGCUUAUUAUGAAAACUUUAUAUCCAUAGGUCUCGACCAAAUCUUGUGCCAGCAGUCGCGGUAAGACAAGGGAGACGAGUGUUAUUCAUCUUUAACAGGUAUAUAGGGUACCUAGACGGUGUGCAAUGGCUUAAAUAAGUACCUGGUACACUUGAGUUUGAUAUGUGAGAGGAAUAUGUCGGAAUUGUUGGAGGAAAGAUGAAAUUUGUUAAUACCAAUAGGACUGAUAACGGCGAAGGCAAACCUCUAUGUACAUGUACUUGCUAUUUCUGUUUUUAUUAUAGCAAAAUAGCAAUGUACUAUAACUGACGUUGAGGGACGAAGGCUCAGAGAGUGAAGAGGAUUAGAUACCCCCGUAACCUGGGCAGACAAUGAUGAGUGCCAUAGGUUGGCUUUAAGGCGGAACUAUAAAUGAAAGUGGAAGCACUCCACCUCAAGAGUAAUGUGGCAACGCAGGAACUGAAAUCAUUAGACCGUUUCUGAAACCAGUAGUGAAGUAUGUUAUUUAAUUCGAUGAUCCGC
rnacentral:rRNA from 1 species